rnacentral:rRNA from 1 species
GACAGAGGGUGGAAGCGUUGUUCGGAAUCAUUGGGCGUAAAGGGCGCGUAGGCGGCGCUAGAGGUUACUUGUGAAAGCCCAGGGCUUAACCUUGGAAGAGCAGGUAAAACGUUAGUGCUAGAGUAUCGAAGAGGGUGGUGGAAUUCCCAGUGUAGAGGUGAAAUUCGUAGAUAUUGGGAGGAACACCGGAGGCGAAGGCGGCCACCUGGUCGAAUACUGACGCUGAGGCGCGAAAGCGUGGGGAGCAAACAGG